rnacentral:tRNA from 1 species
CGGACUGUAGCGCAGCUUGGUAGCGCACCGUUGCUCUGCGUAGUUUCGGGGGUCGCUGGUUCAAAUCCGGCCAGUCCGU